rnacentral:lncRNA from 1 species
UGCGUCAGAGCAGGGAGCGGCGAUGGCCUCACUAAUUUCAGAGGCGACAACAGCCAGGCUCGCCCGAGCUAAUCGCAUCGGAUCGAGACCCCGACUGUUCGCCGGCCUCCCUACAGCAGCGGCGCUCGGUGCUUGGCAGCAGGUUUCAGGCGAGAAGCUCGCCUUGGUUGUCACGACCGGCCUUAAUUAAGGAUAAUUAAUCCGGGAAAACCAUGACUGGGGAAGGGAAAUUAAGAAGCGGGUUUAGAAAGGGGUGCAUAAAAGAAUACUCAAAGAGCUUGAAUACGCGUGAAAUAUUCCUUAAAAAGGAAAAAGGCAUAGUUCGCAUAAAAAGGGUACUCAACGAACUUGUAUAAGCGUUAUAUUCCUUAAAAGGAAAAAGGCAUCGUUAGGGGCUUGGCUAAAACAUUAUCAGAGUUUGCAACGGAAGGUGUAACUGAAAUAAUCAGUGUUUACAGCGGAAUGCAUAACUGAGAUACAUGUAUGAAGACAUGUAUCCUUUCUGAGCCUACUUAAGUUCGCAAAAAACUCUAACUCAGCAACAACACUUCAUCGCCCAUCACAGCUCAACCUGCACAAACAUAAACAUCGAAAGGCUAAGUACAAGAGUACUUAGUGGGCAGUUGCCAAGCAUAUAACAUAACAUCAUUAACAAUUUCACAAUAUCGCAUAAGAGGCAUGAGUUUCUUUCAAAUCCUUUGCUCAUUAAACAUUUCCAAAUUCAUAAAUAGCAUAAGGGCAUUCUUCAUCAUCAAUCUUCAUUAACAAACAUCGUGUCGUGGAGAAGGCCUUCCCCAACGAACACGGGCAUCGCGCCGUGAGGAAGGCCCUCCUCAGCGGACACGGCAUCGUACUGUUGAGGGAGGCCUCCCCCAACAGACGCAAGCAUCAAACUUAUAGCUAAAUCAAGCGUAAAGCAUUCAAGCGUAAAAGUAAACAUAGGCGUAAAUCAUUUAACGUGCACAUAAUAAAGCUUAACUCAUUUAAGCGUAAUAAACAUACCACACUUGAAGAUCCAAUUUGCAUUUUAAAAGCAUAACACUUGCAUAGCAUUUAUUUACGCGUAAGAAAUUGCCCACCUCAAUUGUUCUUAAAGCUGGCGUGGAGUCGUUUCUUCUUCGGCUUCACUUUCUGUCGCCCGGACCUUCAUUGAUGAAGAGUCGAUAAGUUCGUGAAGUAAUUGUCAUAAGACAAAGUCUAAUUCUACGUGCCUAGGGAUCUUUUAGUGUUUUAGGGUUCUAGCAUCCAUAAUUCGUUACAUCAUUACUAGCGUAACCUCAAAUAAUUAAUAGGCUCAAAAGAGAGUAGCCAAUUAAUUAAAUAAACCAGUGGCUUUAAAGAAAUAAAUGAUAAUAGUUCGCUUUAAAGUCCGAAGUCCAAAAACAUCAUUAAAACAUGCUCUUUUUUACACUGACUCAACUUCAAAAUUUAUCUGUUCUACUCGACAUCUCCUGGACUCGAGACUCAUACUGAAAGAAAGUCUUCGAUCUAUUUCUAUAAAAAAAAGUAGAGUCGAAAACUCCAAGUGUUUGGAGAUAUGACUUUUUACACGUCUACCAUGUUCGGCAGUUUUGAAAUCGAAAACUUGGAUUUUUUAAAAAUAGUAAAGUUGUCAAACUGGGCUCAACUUUGUGGAUAUCUAGCUAACACAAUAAGGUUAAUACCAUAAAAUUUGGAAAGCUAGAUCACACAGGAAGCUACUGAAUAAUGACUCUUUCUCUGUUCUCUGAAAUUCUCGGUAGUAAUGUGCAGUUUGGUUUUGAUUUUAAGAAAUAUAAACGAAGUUGGAAUGGCUUGAAAUUUUACCGGUCUCAAGACUCAUGUGGGACUUGUAUAAAAUUUCAAAGCUUUGACAUGACAAACCGUCGAUCACAGUAGGUCAGUAGGCCUACGAAAUUCAUAUUUAUAAGUCCUUAAAAAAAAUAAUUUAUAUAAAUCAAGAAAUAAGAGUUUAAUCCCAAAAAUAUUCAUUAAAAGUCCAUCAUAAUUUAAAUAAAGAACGGACCUCAUUUAAAAUAAAUAGUCCAAACUGUUACGCACAUAUACUAAAUCUUUCAUGAAACAUCCUUUAAAAUAAACUUUGAUACAUAGAAAAUAAUUCAACAACUUGAGCUCUUAAGAGGUUUUUUGCAACAGACACCAAAUCUGCCUCGGAUCUCCAAAUGAGGCUCCAAAAGACAUUCUGAAACUAGACAUUUCAAGGAUCAUUCUCCAAUUUGAAUCGAAUGAAAAACAAUUCAAACGAGCAAGAUAUGCCCUCUCAAAGAUGGGUAUUUAACAGCAAAAAUCUGAAAAUUUCAGAUUUCAGAUUACAACCAAGUCAGUGGGCUUUCUUUAAAAAUUCAUAUCUCCCUUUACAAAACUCCACUGGGAACCCCAAGGGUCAAUCUGGAAACUAGGGAGAGAUCAUAACACUCUCAGUUGGAUUUACUCAAGAACAUUCAUGGUUUAGAAGAUAUGACUUCUAAAGUUCAGUGCACAAAAAGAGUUCAAGUUUGGCAGAUUCAGAACAUAAAUCGAAAAACACUUUAGGCUUCACCAAAAAUUCUAAAACUAACAAGUAAGUUCCAACAUGUCAGUGAAUAUUCAGUAAAGAUAGGCUUGAGAAUCAAAGAUUUAAGUCGGUUUGCCACCUCAAAGUCGUAGGUUUGUAAAAUCUACUGGAUGGUACAGGAAUAAGAACUAGAUUUCAAGAAUUUAUACCGGUUGUUUCCUUAUCAAAAAUGGUGAGGCCGAUUCAAAAGAAAGAUACGGGAGUCUAGAGUGACAUAUUCAAGUUUCAAAGGUUUUCACCGAUUGAAACUUUACUUAUGGCCUCCCAAAGAUUGUUUACCAAAAAUGUAUUCCAGAUGGGCAGUGAUGUUACAAUUCAUAAAUAAUCAUAAGAGCUUCAAACCUUCUGAAAUUUUACCAAAGUAUAGAAAACAUAUGAAAGAUGAUACACAAUUAAUUUGAGAAUUUUUUGGGAACCGUUUGGAUUGCUGAAAUCGCCUUGCAAAACACUGCCGGAGUGUUGGGGUACUACUGGACUGGAGCAGCUUGAAAUCUUGGCAAAAUAGUUAAGCCAAGUCUUCCUUCUCUUUGUGAUUGCUGGUGCGAAAUGGAAGGAAUGGGUGAAGUUUUUUUGAAGUUGGUGGGGAGCAUAGGUAGUGGAGAUGGUGGUGCACUAAUGUGGUGGGGGAAAAGUAAAGUAGUGGUGGGG